rnacentral:rRNA from 1 species
GUCGAGCGGCAGCGGGAAAGUAGCUUGCUACUUUUGCCGGCGAGCGGCGGACGGGUGAGUAAUGCCUGGGAAAUUGCCCAGUCGAGGGGGAUAACAGUUGGAAACGACUGCUAAUACCGCAUACGCCCUACGGGGGAAAGCAGGGGACCUUCGGGCCUUGCGCGAUUGGAUAUGCCCAGGUGGGAUUAGCUAGUUGGUGAGGUAAUGGCUCACCAAGGCGACGAUCCCUAGCUGGUCUGAGAGGAUGAUCAGCCACACUGGAACUGAGACACGGUCCAGACUCCUACGGGAGGCAGCAGUGGGGAAUAUUGCACAAUGGGGGAAACCCUGAUGCAGCCAUGCCGCGUGUGUGAAGAAGGCCUUCGGGUUGUAAAGCACUUUCAGCGAGGAGGAAAGGUCAGUAGCUAAUAUCUGCUGACUGUGACGU